AUGCAAGACUACUUUGUAGAGGUACCGACAUACCCACCUCGCCUCUUCCGUAGAAGGUACCGCAUGCGCCGUACUUUGUUUGAGAGAAUCGUCAAAGAUUGCGAGGCCAACUCGCAUUAUUUCACGCGCCGUACAAAUGCUGCCGGUGCCAUGGGAUUUAGUGCAUACCAGAAGAUAUCGGCUGCAAUGCGGGUGCUCGCGUAUGGCAUACCCGCGGACUACUGUGACGAGUACUUAUGGAUUUGGCAUGCAUAUUUUGGUUUGCCGGGAACACUCAAUGACAUCAAUGUGCUUCAAAGGUCCCCUUUAUUUGCAAGACUAGCUUUAGGUGAUGCUCCAACUUGCAAUUACAAGGUCAUGGACAAUGAGUACACAAUGGGAUACUAUCUCACCGAUGGCAUUUAUCCUGAGUGGGCAACACUUGUGAAGUCCAUUAAAGAGAAGAGAGGGAUGCCCUUAUCCCAAAAAGAAGCUAAUUUUACAAGGGCAUGA
rnacentral:rRNA from 1 species